rnacentral:rRNA from 1 species
GGGAAGAGCUCAAAUUUGAAAGCUGGCGUCCUACGGGCGUCCGCAUUGUAAUCUAUAGAGGCGUUUUCUGUGCUGGACCGUGUCCAAGUCCCUUGGAACAGGGUAUCAAAGAGGGUGACAAUCCCGUACUUGACACGACAACCAGUGCUCUGUGAUACGUCUUCUACGAGUCGAGUUGUUUGGGAAUGCAGCUCAAAAUGGGUGGUGAAUUCCAUCUAAAGCUAAAUAUUGGCGAGAGACCGAUAGCGAACAAGUACCGUGAGGGAAAGAUGAAAAGCACUUUGGAAAGAGAGUUAAACAGUAUGUGAAAUUGUUGAAAGGGAAACGAUGGAGGUCAGUCGUGUCUGUGGGAUUCAGCCGUCUCGGCGGUGUACUUCCCACAGACGGGUCAACAUCAGUUUUGGCUGGCGGAUAAAGGCAGGAGGAAGGUGGCACCCCCGGGUGUGUUAUAGCCUCUUGUUGCAUACGCUGGCUGAGACUG